AUUAAAAGUCAUUAGUUUGUUUUAUCCCUUUAUCAUUUUUAUGCAUAGAAAAAAAUUGAAAAAUAAAUAAAUAAGUACAUAUAAUAAAAGUGGCUUCACCUACACGUUACAACUAGAAAGGAGUAAGGAAAAACUCUGAAGCAAAACAAAAGCCUAAUAGAACAAUGAUGGUGACUUGAAAA